UAAUGAAAUUGUUUUUGUUUGCUAUUUAGAUUCAAUUACAACAAUUAGAACUAACAAUCAAAUGUUUAAUUGUGCUUUUAUGUGUGUGACUGUGUGUAAAUACUGGUCACAAUUAUGAUAAUAAUGAUAUUUCUUUGUUGAAAUCUUUUUUUCUCUUGUGUCUAUACUUUCUUCGUGCCAUCUUUUGAUUAAUGAAUGUCACCAAGUAAUGAAGAUAAAUGUUUUUAUUGAAAUUAUUUAAUCAUUUCAUUUUCUAAUUGUCAGUUAAUUUAUUUCACUUUUCAAACUGCGAAUAAAUUAUCUCUUCAAAAAUUAAAUUACAUGUCUAGUUUACCUGUGAUUUUGGUGAAUAUUUUGUCUGUCAACUUAAAGGUUGAUCUCUCAUUUUUGUGUCUCUUUCCACAUCAACUUUCUUAAUAAGCAAACGUCAUUAAUUUCAUACCUUAAGUCAAUGUUGAUAAAUAAUUUUCGAUCAAUCAACCAAGUAACUCAAUUGGAACAUCUAAUAGUCAAGUUAAACAUGUCGUGUCAACAGAUUUCAUGGUUAUCUGAACAUGAAAUGCUCAAAUUGUCUGUCAAACAGUUUAAUGAAAGCAGCAAAAGUGAAAGGUUAAACUUGUCCGCUUGGCUGUGGCUGCCUUAAGUCGUUGUUUAUGAUAAUACCAAUCCGUUUUUUUAAAAAAAGGAAAGCUUGUUGGCCUCUAUCAUGUCAGGCCCAACAACAUGGCAACAUCUUCAAAAUGGUAACCAUCAUUGGACAAGGAUGAAAGAAGCAAGCCUUUAAAGUUUAUCAACAUUUUCGCAACAAUUAUCAUCAUUAUAUUCAACUCUAGUAGUUAAUUAACCAUUCCCACUACCUCCUAUUCCUCCACCCUCGCCUCCUCAUUUAAGUCUACAAUUUAGUCUCAAUCUCUACCAUAUCUUUGAGCACAAAUUAGCAUAGGUACAACGACUUACCUUCAGUACCAACAUCAUCGACUUGAUUGACUAAAUUUCCUUAACUAUCCAUCCUAUCUGUCUUAACAUCUUCAUCAAACGACCAGUUUGUGAAGUAACUAACUAAUCUUUACAUAUAAUAACAGUAAUCUAAUAAUGAUUGGAGCAAAGUUUACUCUCUAACCACAAUUAUCAUUUAAUAUGUUUUUCCCUUUUCUGUCUAACAAUCCAUCGUCCUUUCUUUUCUCUCUCUUUAAUCGGUUAUUAAUUUUCAUACAUCAAUUUACCUUAAGGCUAACAACCUGGAAGCCUUAAAUUAUUGAACAACAGUUGUCCAUGUUGAUUAUCAUAUAUGCAUUGUACAAGCAUUGUUGGACAGAUUAGUCGGAUAAGUUGGAAUCAAGCUUGAUUUGCUUCUCAUUUAAAUAGACUGAUAAUUAUCUUUUUAAUUUCACAAGUUUUACACAUUUUAUAGCAUAGUAUUUGACUAUUAUUAGUUAAUGAUAAAUUAUAAUGCUUGUCGAUUGCUAUUAUUACUAUUGGUAAAUUGAUGAAUGUUGAUAAAUUGAUGUAAUUAUCAAUACAACAAUAUUAUUGAUAUUACCAGAUAAAAAAAAACCUUUGCCCAACCUUAACUUCAAUGAGGUCCAAAAGCUGAAAUUAAAUUUGACGAUCAUUUUUAUUUAUUACAAUUAUCUUGCUCGCAAAACAACCCAAUUGACAAUUAUAACCAAUUACUAACUUUUAAUUCAUAUCAACACUCAAAAUUAUACAAAGAUGAAGCUCACAAAGUAAAUUCAAAAAGAUGGAAAGAUGAAGUAAUUGAAUGGAGAUUGAUGAGGAGAUGAAAUGCUAUUAAAUUAACAUGAUAAUCAUGAUAAUUGUUAGAUUGAUAGUAUUAACGAAUAAAUAAAUUACAAGAUUUAACCAAAAUUUUCAAACCUGUAAUCAUAUUCUGGUCAUGUUUGCUGGUCAACUCUGAAUGGUGUUAAAAACAUUGAAUGGUCCAAACGCGUGAAGAACCAUUAUCAAUUCAUUACAAUGUUAAUCAAGUUGUUCACCUUUUCUGCAUCCAUCCCAUAAGAGAGAGAGAGAGAGAGACCAGUUAACAAAUUAAUACCAGGACACAAUUAAAUCAACUUAAAUUAUGUGACAAUUGAAUGGACAACAAAGCAGCAAGAAAACCCAAAGCAAAGAAACUCUGGAAACCUUGAAAAUUGCUGCAAAUUCAACAACAAAAUAACCAUUUAUGCAAAUUAUCAGCUUCAUUUUGUUGUUGUUUCUGAUAUGUAAAUUGAUAACUCGACUACCCGAUGAAAAAAAACAGCAACAUCUAAAACGAUUAACUUAACCUUUUUUGUUUCUACCUGUUCUCACGUUGAUUUUCAACGUUGAUUUAUUUAAUAGUUUGCUGUUAAAAAAUAAGAUUAUGAUGAUGAUGUUGCUGAUGAUGGUAAUGAUGAUGAUGAUGACAAUGAUGAUGAUUAUUGUGAAUCGCUAAGUAAAAUUAUUCUCACGCUGAGCUUUUUUUUCCUUAUUGUGGAUUCCUCAGUUGAAUAAUCCAUGUUGAUAGUUAAUUUGAUUAACUACAGCUUUUACAAUUUUAUAAGGCAACAGGAGAAGCAACAAAAAAUGGUUAAACAUAAUCAGUAACAUCAUCAAGCUUGUUAUAUUUACCUUGAACCAAGAGUUUGAAAUCUUGGCAAAGAGUGAAAAAAGUAAAUUGUAAUUGUAAUAUUAAUUGUUAUCAUUUAGAUGUAUAUUAACAUGUAUGUAAACAUAUUUGGCAACCUACGGUCAAUGAUCAGGUUAACUAUUGUUCACUAUGAUUGUUAUCAUGAAAUUGUUAAUUAGCUAACUUGUUGUCGACUGUAGACAACCUUUGAAAUAAUAUAUCCACAAUUGAGUUCAUUUCCUUUCA